AGAUUGUGAGCUUGUAAAGCAUAUACCUUGAAAGUAUAAGAAAGGACUGGAAACUCCUACUGUCUU
rnacentral:tRNA from 1 species